AGAUGGAGAUGAAAUCUGUACAGUUGACCUUUGAACAACACGGGCAUAGGGGCACUGACCCCUUCCCAGCAGUUGGAAAUCUAUGUAUAACUCUUGACUCCCCAAAAACUUAGCUACUAAUAGCUUACUGUUGAC